UACGGGGGGAGCAAGCGUUGUUCGGAUUUACUGGGCGUAAAGGGCGCGUAGGCGGUCAGCACAAGUCAGUUGUGAAAUCUCCGGGCUUAACUCGGAAAGGUCAACUGAUACUGUGCGACUAGAGUGCGGAAGGGGCAACUGGAAUUCUCGGUGUAGCGGUGAAAUGCGUAGAUAUCGAGAGGAACACCUGCGGCGAAGGCGGGUUGCUGGGCCGACACUGACGCUGAUGCACGAAAGCGUGGGGAGCAAACAGG
rnacentral:rRNA from 1 species